AUGGCUUUCCCUCGACGGCUCCCGCCAGUGUGCGUGGGGGAGGUGAAGUCCAACCCCGCGCGAGCUGCGCGCACACAGGUACGUGCCCGGGCAGCGCGCACAGCCCCGGAGACCCGCAUCCGAGCCGAUUUCCACGCUCGCAGCCCCUUGUGUCUCGGAGCCUUGUGUCUCGGAUUUAAAGCAGUGCGCUCAGGGAUGUGCGUGCACGCCUCUUCCUUCGCACAGGACAGCCUGUCGCACCAGCCCCUCCGUCCGCUUUCCCCGCAGCCCUGUCCCCACCACGCGCCACGGCGACUCCUCCCAGCGAGGUCGGCUGUCCAAAACCCAUGGCAAAGUCACAGCCACAGACACCGCGCGCCGAGGCCCAGGCCAGAGAGCGCGGUCCUGUUGCCUGGGGUCCCCGGGGCGUGUGAACGCACGCUCCCGGUCCCCAGCGCCGCCUCUCGGCUCGCGCGCUCCCCACUUACCCCCGAUCCUCUCCCGAACUGUGGCCGGGGAGCUCACUCCCCGCGCACUGCCCCGCCCGGAGCCCGCCAAGGCAAUAUUAAAGCAAAGGAGGGCUCCUGGCAGAUCCUCGGGGCCAGCCUCGGCCGCCACCGGGGCGCGUCCCCACCCCGGACCUCGGAGACAGUUGGGGGGGGGAGGGCGAGGCGCGCCCGGGCGCCCACGCGACGCGGGGGCCGCACCUUACCUGGGGCUGCGGGGCCGGCAACCGGCGGCGGGGCGGCUGGCUCUCCCGCCCCGAGGCUAGGCGCACUCCCAUCCCCGCCGCAUGUUCCCCGCGCCGGCUCCAGCGCGCUCACCGCCGCCACCGCCGUCGUCUCGGCUUUAUUUACCCAGACGGGCCGCGGGAGAGGAAGCGCCCGCGCCCGCCGCCCGGCCGCGGGGGCUGCUGCUACUGUUAACCCCUCGCAGCGGAGCUGCCCCGCGGCCCGCCGAGACCUCUCCAGGCCAGGGCGUGGCUCCAGACCCGCCGGCCGAAGGGGAACUUCUUUCCCUUCGCACUUUGGGGAAGACAGUGGAGAAGCCGCCAGGAGGUCUGGGCUCCAGCUGCGGAAGCUGGGCGCUUGCGGAGGCAGAUCCGAUGCCUUGAGCUGGCCCGAGCGCCCUAGGCGGGCGAGGCCGCUGGGGCGCGCCCUGAGUUGUCCUUAG
rnacentral:lncRNA from 1 species